UACGUAGGCAGCGAGCGUUGUUCGGAAUUACUGGGCGUAAAGAGUGUGUAGGCGGUGCUCCCAGUCUGUUGUGAAAUCUCCCGGCUUAACUGGGAGGGUGCAGCGGAAACUAGAGUGCUAGAGGGUGGGAGAGGCAAGCGGAAUUCCUGGUGUAGCGGUGAAAUGCGUAGAUAUCAGGAGGAACACCUGUGGUGUAGACAGCUUACUGGACCACUUCUGACGCUGAGACACGAAAGCGUGGGUAGCAAACAGG
rnacentral:rRNA from 1 species